rnacentral:rRNA from 1 species
UAGGGAAUCUUCGGCAAUGGGGGGAACCCUGACCGAGCAACGCCGCGUGAGUGAAGAAGGUUUUCGGAUCGUAAAGCUCUGUUGUUAAGGAAGAACGAGUGUGAGAAUGGAAAGUUCAUACUGUGACGGUACUUAACCAGAAAGGGACGGCUAACUACGUGCCAGCAGCCGCGGUAAUACGUAGGUCCCGAGCGUUGUCCGGAUUUAUUGGGCGUAAAGCGAGCGCAGGCGGUUAGAUAAGUCUGAAGUUAAAGGCAGUGGCUCAACCAUUGUGAGCCUUGGAGACUGUUUAACUUGAGUGCAGAAGAGGAGGGUGGAAUUCCAUGUGUAGCGGUGAGAUGCGUAGAUAUAUGGAGGAACACCGGUGGCGAAAGCGGCUCUCAGGUCUGUAACUGACGCUGAGGCUCGAAAGCGUGGGUAGCAAACAGG